AGGUCCCUUAUCGACCUGUGGCUGCCAUCCUGUGGACUCGGCGUCUCGACAUGUCGGCAAGGUUUGGUGAAUACGCCAUCGGUGGUGUAUGAUGAAAAAGAGUUAACUCGCUCAAAGAAUCAGCGAUUGUUCAGUUUCAGGGAGAAGUCUACGAACAACCGACGAGCUGUACGGUAAAACAGAGGGGAGAGGAAAGGGGGUGACGAACCAGACGGCGGGAAAAAUCAGGAAAUUAGUUUGGUUUGAAAGAAGCCCGCAAGAGUCAAGAUAAUUCUACUGUAAAAGAAGUAACAGCCAGAUUCCAGUGAUAUCGAUGCGAUAAACUAGCUAGAUGUUAAAGAUGGUAUUGAUUAAU